rnacentral:rRNA from 1 species
GACGAACGCUGGCGGCGUGCCUAAUACAUGCAAGUAGAACGCUGAAGGAGGAGCUUGCUCUUCUGGAUGAGUUGCGAACGGGUGAGUAACGCGUAGGUAACCUGCCUGGUAGCGGGGGAUAACUAUUGGAAACGAUAGCUAAUACCGCAUAAGAGUAGAUGUUGCAUGACAUUUGCUUAAAAGGUGCAAUUGCAUCACUACCAGAUGGACCUGCGUUGUAUUAGCGAGUUGGUGGGGUAACGGCUCACCAAGGCGACGAUACAUAGCCGACCUGAGAGGGUGAUCGGCCACACUGGGACUGAGACACGGCCCAGACUCCUACGGGAGGCAGCAGUAGGGAAUCUUCGGCAAUGGACGGAAGUCUGACCGAGCAACGCCGCGUGAGUGAAGAAGGUUUUCGGAUCGUAAAGCUCUGUUGUAAGAGAAGAACGAGUGUGAGAGUGGAAAGUUCACACUGUGACGGUAUCUUACCAGAAAGGGACGGCUAACUACGUG